CCUACGGGUGGCAGCAGUGAGGAAUAUUGGUCAAUGGCCGAGAGGCUGAACCAGCCACGUCGCGUGAGGGAAGACGGCCCUACGGGUUGUAAACCCCUUUUGUCGGGGAGCAAAGAGAGUCACGUGUGACUCAUUGCGCGGACCCGAAGAAACCGCAUCGGCUAACACCGUGCCAGCAGCCGCGGUAAUACGGAGGAUGCGAGCGUUAUCCGGAUGUAUUGGGUUGAACGGGUGCGCAGGCGGAGGUGCAAGUCAGCGGUCAAAUUGCGGGGCUCAACCCCGUACUGCCGUUGAAACUGCAGCCCUGGAGAGCGCGAGAAGUAUGCGGAAUGCGUGGUGUAGCGGUGAAAUGCAUAGAGAUCACGCAGAACUCCGAUUGCGAAGGCAGCAUACCGUCGCUCAACUGACGCUCAUGCACGAAAGCGUGGGUAUCGAACAGGAUUAGAUAGUAGUC
rnacentral:rRNA from 1 species